rnacentral:rRNA from 1 species
UAGUCCACGCUGUAAACGAUGAUCACUAGCUGUUGGCGAUAGAUAGUUCAGCGGCAAAGCGAAAGCAUUAAGUGAUCCACCUGGGGAGUACGAUCGCAAGAUUGAAACUCAAAGGAAUUGACGGGGGCCCGCACAAGCGGUGGAUUAUGUGGUUUAAUUCGAAGCAACGCGCAGAACCUUACCUAGGCUUGAAAUCCUACGAAUCCGACGUAAUUGUUGGAGUGCUCGCAAGAGAAUGUAGUGACAGGUGCUGCAUGGCUGUCGUCAGCUCGUGUUGUGAAAUGUUGGGUUAAGUCUCGCAACGAGCGCAACCCCUAUCGUUAGUUGCCAGCGCGUAAAUGGCGGGGACUCUAGCGAGACUGCCGGCGGUAAGCCGGAGGAAGGUGGGGACGACGUCAAGUCAUCAUGGCCCCUACGUCCUGGGCUACACACGUACUACAAUGGCACGGACAACGCGCACCAACGUCGCGAGGCGAAGGUAAUCGCUUAAACCGUGU